GCCCGGGCCCAGCCUCGUUCGGGGAGCGCCGGCCCAGUGCGCUUCCCGCCAACUCCCCCCGGGGCCUGCUGCUGAGGCCCGGCGCCGCCGCUGGAAGGCCAGAAGAGCACGGAGUGAUUAUAACAUGUUUGGUCUUCUUGCUGCGUCCACAUAAAACUUUGAAUUUCUGAGGAAGUACCUUUGAAAGAAAGUACUUCGCCAAACCAUUUGAACACUAUUUGCUAGAGCAGAAUGCACUCAUAUAUCCCUCAUGAAAGGGCUUUGCAGCAGCAGAAACAAUUAGACACACGAGCCAUGCAAGAAAGGAAAAGAGAAGAGAUACUAUACCAAAGGGCAGGGUGUGCUCAACCCAUGCAGGCUUGGUAAGCCUGGCUCCCCUUUAUCGCCUUUAAUAUUUCGAUCUCCCUGUUUAAAAAUGAACUGCUUGUUGAGAUUGAUGAAAGACACAGAAAAGUUACUUAAACAGACAUAAUUUCAUCAGCAACAGAAAGAAAAUGGGUUCAAAUUACUGUAAAUCUAUUUUUGAUGACAAGAAUAGCAAAUUCAUCUAGACACCAUCAACUCUGUCAUCAGACAAGCGUCUUAUAACUUUGUAACAGCAAAUUUAAAACCAUGGAAGUAAAAUAAUUUGACACACAAAGAAAGCUGAUCCACAGAAGCCAAAAUGAGUUACAAAUGCUGGUAUAGCUUAUGCCAGUUUCCUGAACAAAGUAAGGUAUGCCGACAAAAGCACUUCUUUGCUGGUAUAUUUGCGUCUAUGCCAGAGCUUUUGCCAGCACAGCUCUGUUGGUCAGAGGUAGGGAGAAGGAAGGAAAAAAAAAUCACAUCUCUGACUGACAAGCUAUGUUGGCAAAAGUUUCAAGUGUAGACCAGGCCUAACAAAGAAUCGUACCUUGUUUAAAGCAUGUACCUCACAGUAGAUCAGUAUGGCUGGAAUAAGUUUUAACCACUGAUUUAAACAAUGUUACUUUAAUACAUAAAAAAAGUAACUCAUCCAUAAUUCUCAAAGCAUUUUACCAAGAUGGAUAAGCACCAACACACCCAUUCUACAGGUAUAAAGAAAAGAGUAGUUUAGAAAAGGAGGACUACCUUGACCUGAAGAGCUUUGUGUAGCUGACAGCUUGUCUCUUUCACCAACAGAAGUUGGUCCAAUAAAAGCUAUUAACUC